rnacentral:lncRNA from 1 species
GGAGGACUGCGCUCCAGGAUGCAACCAAAGCCGGGUGCACAGCAGCCGGCAUGGCGCCAAAACUGAAGCCCUGAGCUGCUCUGCGGUGCUACCCUUUGUCCCUCCAGACUCUCUUUUCCUUCAUCUGUUUGUCAGUAAACCGAAGCCACCACAGUUUGUCAUUUGGAUGAUUUUCGAUGGAGAAGCUGCAGCUCCAGACUCUUGACAGCCGCACAACUUCCAAGGCAGUGGCCCCGCGGGCUGCAAACCCCACCUUCCUGCAGUUGCAGAGCCAGCUAAGAGGUGGGCAGCAUGCCAGGCCCCAUCAGCAGCCCCUGGAGCACACACCAAUUGCAGAUGCUCAGGAGACUCGGGGGAAGGAACGGGGUUUUCACCAGAACACCACAGGCAGGACCUCCCAGCAAAGGCCUCCAGAUGCUGUGAAAACCUAAGGCUCGUCCUCCUCCUGGCUUCCCAGGUUACCCAGCCACAACACACAGAUGCUGGGUCUGGGACGGCUCCACUGGAACCUGAGAUGACCUGAGGGUGUCCCAGUGAUAUAACAUAUGAGGAAAGCAGAAACAACUAAGAAAUAGACUCUGAAUGUGGCAGAUUCUAGAACUGAGCAAUGCAAGAACAGCCUAAUAAGCUGUGUGACUAAUCACUGCAUGAAACGGAGGGAGAGAGUUGUGCAGCUUCCAAGAACCUUCCUUAAGAGAUUAUGUCAGUUCACCCCUUGCCUUCUUCUUCUUCAUUCCUUCCUCCAUCCUGCUGACUAGAAUGAAGAGAUGUUGUCAUCUUGGACCAUGAGGUCAAGGCCAUGAGUGGACCAACAGGAUGUAAAUGUCAUGAGGGCAGGGAUUUUGUCUGUUCCCCAUUCCCCAGCUGCUGUGACCCCAAUGCCUAGUCGGUGCUAAAUAAAUAUUUGCUAAGUGAAUGAAUGAAC